rnacentral:rRNA from 1 species
GUAUAGAGGGUGAAUUCUGCCCAAUGGUUGUAUAGUGAAACUGAGGACUAACGUUUAAAGCGAAACCCAACUGAAUGGCCGCGGUAACUCUGACCGUGAUAAUGUAGCACAAUAAAUAGCCAAUUAAUUGUUGGCGGGUAUGAAUGGAACCACGAGGGUCUUACUGUCUCAAGAGGAAAGCCGAUGAAAUUAUAGUUGUAGUGAAGAUACUACAUAAACAUUGUAAGACGAAAAGACCCUAUUGAGCUUUACUGGAUACCGAUAGCGUUAACUUAAAAUGAUCGAUACUAAGUAUCCUAAUUUUGAGUCAAUAAUUUUUGUUGGUAGGACAGUUUAGUUGGGGCGACUACCUUUGAAUAAGAAACGAAGGCGAGCUUAUGGUAUACAAAGCUAAUCUCAUUAGCCUGACAGCGAGGGGGACACCCCUAGCUGGCACAAGGACUACGUCCUAUGUGGGCGAUAAUGACCCGAUAUGAUUGUCCAAAAUAAAUAUCGAAAGCGGAUAAAAGCUACCAUAGGGAUAACAGCGUAAUAUUGUCGGAGAGUUCUUAUCGAGGACAGUGUUUGCGACCUCGAUGUUGAAUUGCGGUGCCCUGGUGCUGUAGAAGGUACCUUAGGUUGGUC